CGGGAUGUGGCUCAGUCUGGUAGAGCGCUGCGUUCGGGACGCAGAGAUCGCUGGUUCGAAUCCAGUCAUCCCGACCA
rnacentral:tRNA from 1 species